UACCAGCACCCCGAGUGGUCGGGACGAUUAUUGGGCCUAAAGCAUCCGUAGCCGGUUCUACAAGUCUUCCGUUAAAUCCACCUGCUUAACAGAUGGGCUGCGGAGGAUACUAUGGAGCUAGGAGGCGGGAGAGGCAAGCGGUACUUAGUGGGUAGGGGUAAAAUCCGUUGAUCCAUUGAAGGCCACCAGUGGCGAAGGCGGCUUGCCAGAACGCACUCGACGGUGAGGGAUGAAAGCUGGGGGAGCAAACAGG
rnacentral:rRNA from 1 species